UCCUGCGUCACGACUUGCUCUGCUGAAAUUACCGCACUAUAACCACGUCAUCUGCCCCAAUGAGCACAUCUACGGGCCGGAGAACCAGCGCAGAAAAGGAGUAAGUUUAAUUGGUCGCCAGAUGAAACGGUCUUCUUACAUCAAAUUCAUGAAAAAAGACGUAUAAUCAGAGGGUGUUAUGGGAAGAGCAUCACCCCUGAGGAUAAGAAGAGAGCGUGGACUGAAGUGGCAGAAGCUGUAACAAGUGCCUUCCCUGGGAGUGGACCCCAUACGCAGGAUGACUGUGAGAGGCGUUGGUACAACGUACAACAAAAAUCAAAGCCUCUCAUUGCCAAGUGCAAGAAUGAGCAGCGGCAGACUGAUACACACUUUAUUAGUAUUGCUAGAGACCAUCCCAGCACAUUGUUCAUUACUUGUGGAAAAGAUAUAAUUAGCUGCUCCGGCAACAGCCACUGCUUCAAUAUCUGCUGGCCCUAUGACACCAGCCACUGCUUCAAUAUCUGCUGGCCCUAUGACACCAGCCACUGCUCAUCAUCUGCUGGCCCAAUGACACCUGCCACUGCUUCAUCAUCUGCUGGCCCUAUGACACCAGCCACUGCUUCAUCAUCUGCUGGCCCAAUGACACCUGCCACUGCAAGGGAUGACAAUGAAGCUGCUCCACCACAGUUACCACCUACUUCAUUGGAGUUAAGAGAUGCCUUUCAUAGGGCAGCAGUAUAAUUUUUUGAUGCUGGGGCUGAAUAUUACUGCCUCAAGGCUAUGAUUUUCACCUUUUUUUUUUUUAUUACUGAGGAGGUUAGGGUGGAAGGGGUGAAAAAUAAUCUGUGCUGUUUUUCGACAUAAAUGGUUAGCAAAUUCAUUCAAAGCACAAAAUUUACCAGAAAAAAAAUUGUGUGCCAUUGUGAGUGGGUUCACUUGAGAUUGGGCUCCAAUACACCUCCGUGGUCUAGUGGUCAGCAUGCCUGGCUUCUACGCGGGCCCAGGUUCGAAUCCCGGCCCGGGCAGUCGGCGUGCAGCUCACCCAGCUGAUCAUCCUCCCUCUCGGGCUGGUCGAUAAAUGACUACCUGGGGAAACUGUGGUAACCCGGAUGUCAAACUGGCCCUGUGUCCCGGGGUAAUGGGCUCCCUCCCACCACAAGCUCAAGGGCCAAUGUCACGGAGAUGAGCAUUAGCUUAUAACACCUUUAGGCACCGAUCAUAUUUGCAUUUUAUGUAGUCUGUGAUGCAGGCAGGAUAUUCAUUAGCACCUAAUUAGACUCAUACUGCUCUCCAGUGCUCUCUGAUGAACUCACAAUCAAAGAUGUAGUAUACCUAUAUGGUAGCAUUGAGUAAUCUUAGGUCACUUGGUAAAGUGUUCACCUAAGUCCGACCCAAGCUGACAACAUAAACCUAAGCGUGUUUGCAAGCUGAGUGUUUAGAUUAUUGGCAUAAUAAUAAAAGAUGCUGAAAACUGGAUUCCACUACUUUAUUGAAUAUAUGAAUAAUUAUAUACUGAAUUUGUAAUGGAGCCAAGAUAAAAAAAGCUAUGUUUUCAGCGGUCAUACCAUGAUCUCAUGAAAAUAAUUAGGUUGACAUAUAUAAUUAAUUACUACGUAUUUUGGUAUGAUGACCAUUGCACGUUAAUACCUUAGCUUUGCUAGCAUUGAGUAAUCUUAGGUCACUUGGUAAAGUGUUCACAUAA